AAUUUUAAGUUAAAAAUGAUUGCAAGUAAAUCCAUUAUGCUCCAAAAACCAUAAAGUUUAUUCACGAAGAGCUCUCAAAUGAAUGUGUAGAACAAGCUUAGCAACAAAACAACUGGAAGUUAAUUUUGUUGACAAGAUCUACAACAUUUCCCAAAAAUCCAACAGAAAAUCACACCUUUUAACAAGCAAUUUCUAGGUUAAGAAUGAUUGCAAGUAAAUCCAUUAUGCUAUAUAGUUAUACCAUAAAUCUAAAAAGACAAACUAAAUUACGAGUUCACUCUCAAUUUGUCUUUCCUUCAAGAUCUUCAUAAGCUUUCCCAAAAAGAAAAACCAUCUCACCAAUUGACUCUUGACGAGUUUCCAUGAGAUUCGAAACAAACUGGAUCAUGCAAUUAGUUUAUCACGAUCCCAUCAAUUAAAACACACGGAAGAAUCUGAAAAGAAACAUAAUCUACAGGGCCCUUUACUAAUCGGAAUAAUUAUGCAGUCAUAUUUCUCUUUGUUGUCAAAUGACAUUUCUAAAACCUUGUUAAAUACAGAGCACAUCAAAUCCCAACUGGGUAUCCAGGUAACUGAAGUUGUGAUCCAGCACUCUUUUCAGAUCCAUAAUUCAAUAAGGAAAAUGUGUCUUUAAUGCAAGAAUUCUUAAGUUGAUUCCAAAUAUAUUUUUACCCAUUUUUAGUAACUGAACUAAAAAAGGGCCCUCAAAUUACAAAUUAUUAGGGAAAAUAUUACAAACUGGACUUUCAAAAAAUUAGAGAUAAUAUACUAUAUAUGUGUAGAAGACAACAAAAAACAUAAUCUAUUAAAUCUCCGCCAAAAAAUUAAAUCAAGUUACAAGUAUGCCAGGAUAUAUGGCCCAAGAAGACAAUAAACCAUAAUUACAAAUAUAAAAUCACACUCCAUGUAAAAUAUUCCGUAAACUUCCACGUAUCAUUUUUAACAAAUAACUUGUUCUUUUAAUGUCAAUUACUUUAAUCGUAAUUAAAUACCAUAUACCGUAAUAUUCUUUAGAAAUAGUGAUCCAUUAUCGAGCUUAUAAAAGAAAUAAAGCUUGCUUUAACACAGAAUAUUCAAAAAUAAUAAUAAUAAUAAACAUAAAUAUAAAAAGAUAAAAUGGAGGAGCGUAAAAGAGAAUAGAAAAAAAUCUGUAAGAACAAGGCAGAAAUCGAUAACUAAAGGAUGACUAAUAUUGCAAUAGAGGAGCCGAAGCUGGAGAAAGGGGUUAACAGAAAACUGCUUUAUAUCCUUUUCUUUCUUGAAUCUAAGCAAAAAAAUUAUCCACCAAGGAAGAAGAGGCAUGCUUGCUGCUAUCAAGACGUUGCAGUCACUCAUCUUUUUUGCAUUGAUGACUGGAAAUUUACCUUUAUUAAUAUUCAAAUCAAGUUAAGAGUAUCGUAUCAUCAGACUUGAGUUUUGAAAACUCAAAAAAUCUAAUUUUUUGUUCACAGAAAUAUUACAGAAGAUUGAGGGAUAUCUGGGAUUUUUAUUUUUUAUUUUUUGGAUGGAAGAUAUAUUAUUCAUCAAUAUUUGUGGUAUCCAAUCUCAAAGAAGGGGAAAUUG
rnacentral:lncRNA from 1 species